rnacentral:rRNA from 1 species
GACGAACGCUGGCGGCGUGCUUAACACAUGCAAGUCGAACGGAAAGGCCCUGCUUUUGUUGGGUGCUCGAGUGGCGAACGGGUGAGUAACACGUGAGUAACCUGCCCUUGACUUUGGGAUAACUUCAGGAAACUGGGGCUAAUACCGGAUAGGAGCUCCUGCUGCAUGGUGGGGGUUGGAAAGUUUCGGCGGUUGGGGAUGGACUCGCGGCUUAUCAGCUUGUUGGUGGGGUAGUGGCUUACCAAGGCUUUGACGGGUAGCCGGCCUGAGAGGGUGACCGGCCACAUUGGGACUGAGAUACGGCGCAGACUCCUACGGGAGGCAGCAGUGGGGAAUAUUGCAGAAUGGGCGGAAGCCUGAUGCAGCAACGCCGCGUGCGGGAUGACGGCCUUCGGGUUGUAAACCGCUUUCGCCUGUGACGAAGCGUGAGUGACGGUAAUGGGUAAAGAAGCACCGGCUAACUACGUG